rnacentral:rRNA from 1 species
GCCUGAUCCAGCCAUACCGCGUGGGUGAAGAAGGCCUUCGGGUUGUAAAGCCCUUUUGUUGGGAAAGAAAAGCAUUCGGUUAAUACCCGAUUGUUCUGACGGUACCCAAAGAAUAAGCACCGGCUAACUUCGUGCCAGCAGCCGCGGUAAUACA